rnacentral:rRNA from 1 species
CAGCUCGUGUCGUGAGAUGUUCGGUUAAGUCCGCUAACGAGCGCAACCCUCACUGUGUGUUAUAUGUGUCACACGGGACUGCCGGUUUUAAGCCGGAGGAAGGUGGGGAUGACGUCAAGUCAGCAUGGCCUUUAUAUCCUGGGCUACACACACGCUACAAUGGUCGGUACAAUAGGUUGCCAAGCCGCGAGGCGGAGCCAAUCCACAAAGCCGGCCUCAGUUCAGAUUGUAGGCUGCAACUCGCCUGCAUGAAGAUGGAGUUGCUAGUAACCGCAGGUCAGCAAUACUGCGGUGAAUACGUUCCCGGGUCUU